rnacentral:rRNA from 1 species
AUGAACGCUGGCGGCGUGCCUAAUCCAUGCCAGUCGAGCGAACGGACGAGAAGCUUGCUUCUCUGAUGUUAGCGGCGGACGGGUGAGUAACACGUGGAUAACCUACCUAUAAGACUGGGAUAACUUCGGGAAACCGGAGCUAAUACCGGAUAAUAUUUUGAACCGCAUGGUUCAAAAGUGAAAGACGGUCUUGCUGUCACUUAUAGAUGGAUCCGCGCUGCAUUAGCUAGUUGGUAAGGUAACGGCUUACCAAGGCAACGAUGCAUAGCCGACCUGAGAGGGUGAUCGGCCACACUGGAACUGAGACACGGUCCAGACUCCUACGGGAGGCAGCAGUAGGGAAUCUUCCGCAAAGGGCGAAAGCCUGACGGAGCGACGCCGCGUGAGUGAUGAAGGUCUUCGGAUCGUAAAACUCUGUUAUUAGGGAAGAACAUAUGUGUAAGUAACUGUGCACAUCUUGACGGUACCUAAUCAGAAAGCCACGGCUAACUACGUG